rnacentral:rRNA from 1 species
UUGACCUCAAAUCAGGUAGGACUACCCGCUGAACUUAAGCAUAUCAAUAAGCGGAGGAAAAGAAACUAACAAGGAUUCCCCUAGUAACUGCGAGUGAAGCGGGAAAAGCUCAAAUUUAAAAUCUGGCGGUCUUUGGCUGUCCGAGUUGUAAUCUAGAGAAGUGCUAUCCGCGCUGGACCGUGUAAAAAGUCCUCCUGAA